rnacentral:rRNA from 1 species
UGAGGAAUAUUGGUCAAUGGGCGCGAGCCUGAACCAGCCAAGUCGCGUGAGGGAAGACGGCCCUAAGGGUUGUAAACCUCUUUUGUCAGGGAGCAAACGGGUCACGAGUGGCCAUAUGAGAGUACCUGAAGAAAAAGCAUCGGCUAACUCCGUGCCAGCAGCCGCGGUAAUACGGAGGAUGCGAGCGUUAUCCGGAUUUAUUGGGUUUAAAGGGUGCGUAGGCGGGCUGUCAAGUCAGCGGUAAAAAAUCGGGGCUCAACCCCGUAUAGCCGUUGAAACUGGUGGUCUUGAGUGAGUGAGAGGUAUGCGGAAUGCGUGGUGUAGCGGUGAAAUGCAUAGAUAUCACGCAGAACUCCGAUUGCGAAGGCAGCAUACCGGUGCUCAACUGACGCUGAGGCACGAAAGCGUGGGGAUCAAACAGG